AUGGUUAAGUUAGAAAGGGCGCACGGUGGAUGCCUUGGCACUAGGAGCCGAUGAAGGACGGGACGAACACCGAUAUGCUUCGGGGAGCUGUAAGCAAGCUUUGAUCCGGAGAUUUC
rnacentral:rRNA from 1 species